rnacentral:ncRNA from 1 species
AUGUUAUCAAGAAAGGUGGAGGGAAUAGACCCUUUGAAGCCUUAGCAACCUCCCGACCAUUCGGGGAAGGUGCUAAAUUCUACUUAAACUCGGAUUCAUUUAUCGGAGUUUGGAUAGAUAACCC